rnacentral:rRNA from 1 species
GCACAAGCGGUGGAGCAUGUUGGUUUAAUUCGACGCAACGCGAAGAACCUUACCAGGGCUUGACACUCCCCUGACCGCGUAUGAAAGUACGUUUUCACCCUCGGGUGACAGGGAGACAGGUGGUGCAUGGUUGUCGUCAGCUCGUGUCGUGAGAUGUUGGGUUAAGUCCCGCAACGAGCGCAACCCUUGUCCUUAGUUGCCACCAUUCAGUUGGGCACUCUAAGGAGACUGCCGGUGUUAAACCGGAGGAAGGUGGGGAUGACGUCAAGUCCUCAUGGCCCUUAUAUCCAGGGCUACACACGUGCUACAAUGGCCGGUACAAAGGGUCGCAAUACCGCAAGGUGGAGCUAAUCCCAAAAAGCCGGUCUCAGUUCGGAUUGGAGUCUGCAACUCGACUCCAUGAAGUUGGAAUCGCUAGUAAUCGCGGAUCAGCACGCCGCGGUGAAUACGUUCCCGGGCCUU